rnacentral:misc_RNA from 1 species
AUCGGGAAGAGUGAUCAUAGUAUACUUGAAAUCGAAACUGAAAUUUUAGCAUGUCUCACAGCUUAAGAAGAAAUAUUAGAUUGUAAUAUGACAACCGGAAGGAAUGGAUAGAAAAGCAUCCGAAAGACAAUCUUAGAGGGAUUAACGAGUUUUAGUAGUCUAUUAUCGUUUUUCCGUGGUCUCCCCAAUUUCGAUCGACUAUUGUGUGGCAAAUUCAGCAG